UCAGUUGACCAGUCCGCCAGCCGA
rnacentral:siRNA from 1 species